CCUACGGGGGGCUGCAGUGGGGGAUAUUGCACAAUGGGCGCAAGCCUGAUGCAGCCAUGCCGCGUGUGUGAAGAAGGCCUUCGGGUUGUAAAGCACUUUCAGCGGGGAGGAAGGCGGUGAGGUUAAUAACCUCAUCGAUUGACGUUACCCGCAGAAGAAGCACCGGCUAACUCCGUGCCAGCAGCCGCGGUAAUACGGAGGGUGCAAGCGUUAAUCGGAAUUACUGGGCGUAAAGCGCACGCAGGCGGUCUGUCAAGUCGGAUGUGAAAUCCCCGGGCUCAACCUGGGAACUGCAUUCGAAACUGGCAGGCUAGAGUCUUGUAGAGGGGGGUAGAAUUCCAGGUGUAGCGGUGAAAUGCGUAGAGAUCUGGAGGAAUACCGGUGGCGAAGGCGGCCCCCUGGACAAAGACUGACGCUCAGGUGCGAAAGCGUGGGGAGCAAACAGGAUUAGAUACCCAGUAGUC
rnacentral:rRNA from 1 species